rnacentral:misc_RNA from 1 species
CGCACAUUGCGCCUAUUGGUAUUCCAAUAGGCAUGCCUGUUCGAGCGUCAUUUAAACCUUCAAGCUUUGCUUGGUGUUGGGUGCUGUCCGCCGUUUCUUCUGCGGACUCGCCUUGAAUGAAUUGGCAGCCAGCAAUUAGGUGUUGGAGCGCAGCACAUUUUGCGUUCUCGGCCAUAAUAGCGGGCGUCCAGAAAGCUUAUUUCAACGUUUGACCUCGGAUCAGGUAGGGAUACCCGCUGAACUUAA